CAGUCGCCACGGGAAUACGAAGGGGGCUAGCGUUGCUCGGAAUUACUGGGCGUAAAGCGCACGUAGGCGGAUAUUUAAGUCAGGGGUGAAAUCCCGCAGCUCAACUGCGGAACUGCCUUUGAUACUGGGUAUCUUGAGUAUGGAAGAGGUUAGUGGAAUUGCGAGUGUAGAGGUGAAAUUCGUAGAUAUUCGCAGGAACACCAGUGGCGAAGGCGGCUAACUGGUCCAUAACUGACGCUGAGGUGCGAAAGCGUGGGGAGCAAACAGGAUUAGAUACCCCCGUAGUCCCUGUCUCUUAUAC
rnacentral:rRNA from 1 species